rnacentral:miRNA from 1 species
UUAAAAUGCAGAUUUCCUGACACCACCCAAGAGCUGCUCAUUUGGAAUGUCUGAGGGGGUGGUGCCCAGGAAUCUGCAUUUU